ACUCAAAGGAAUAGACGGGGGUCCGCACAAGCGGUGGAACAUGUGGUUUAAUUCGACACUACGCGAGGAACCUUACCUGGGUUUGACAUGUAACUGCUACUGAUAGAGAUAUUGGGUUUCGUAGAAAUACGAACGGUUACACAGGUGCUGCAUGGCUGUCGUCAGCUCGUGUCGUGAGACGUCGGGUUAAGUCCUUGAACGAGCGCAACCCUUGCCGUUAGUUGCCAGUCGUAAGACGGCACUCUAACGGGACUGCCGUGGAAACACGGAGGAAGGUGGGGAUGACGUCAAGUCCGCAUGGCCCUUAUGUCCAGGGCGACACACGUGUUACAAUGGCGAAGAACAAUGGGGAGCGAAGUCGCGAGAUGGAGCAAAUCCUUUAAAAUUCGUCUAAGUUCAGAUUGUAGUCUGCAACUCGACUACAUGAAGUUGAAAUCGCUAGUAAUCGCAUAUCAGAACGAUGCGGUGAAUACGUUCUCGGACCUUGUACACACCGCCCGU
rnacentral:rRNA from 1 species